GCAGGUGACUUACUCGCGGCACCUUGCUGCAAAGCUCCAAAACUUAGGUUUUCAACAAACUUCAGGUGUUGUUGUCUUUCAGUUUUGACCGUGGAAGCCGAAUAUGGAAUACAGUGGAUUCUAUCGGGGUUAACGUGAUACACCCUGUAACCACUCACAUAAUGAAAUCAAACCGCUGAUGUCAUCUGGAGGUUGUCUUGGCAAAUGUAACAUAAAUGGCCUCUAUGGAGAGGAAACAUGAGGUUUGCAGCCCUUUCAAUCCGCGGCGCAGCACUUUGAGGAAAACGAGUGCAGAAAUAGUCAGUGAAGCCAGACAGCUCCUACGAGUCCAGUCUACCCAGCGACCACUUACUCCCAGAGAUGGACACAGGCAACUUUUUGGAAAGAGCUCUGUUCGUGCAGACGGAGACAACAGACCUCCAUCUACCUUUAGUCUUCAUGCUCAAAAUUUUGAUGCUCCUGACUCAAGGCCAGGUUCAGGGACUCGCCUGUCUCCUCUGGACUACAAACCAACGUUUCCAUAUCCCUGUGAUGCUGAGGAUCCAUUUAAGGCCUUUCCCAAACCCCCUGCUGAUCCACUGGAAUUGAAGAGGGGCUUGGCAAGAGCGCGGGCACGCAUCCUCAGGGCUGGAUCUCUCACCACAUUGCCUCCUGUAGAGAGAUACCCAGAUGUGAAAGAAAGAUCAAACCCAGACCCAGGACCAGCUAAACGACUCCCCAGUACAGACCACACCAAGGUCCGAAGCAGUGCUUACAAACCUGGCCCACGCAGAUCAUCUAGUGAAAGUAGAAUAAUGCAGCCUGGUGUUGACUCAGGACUUAGACCCACAGUGUGCAGAGCAGGAUGGAGAACAGAGCUAAUGAAUAGAGACAACACCCCAAGCACAGAGGACGAUGCAGCGUCAUUGGUGUGGAAUAAAGCGAUUGCUCCUGUUCUCCAGCAACUGGAGACUGCAGCUGCAGGCAACUCUGAAGCCUCAGUGGACCAUCUAUGUGAUUUGUGUGACAGUCUCCAUGGUACCUUGACACAAGUGGACAUGCUCGGUCGACGCUGUAAGAGGAGGUCACGGAUACUUCGAACACUGUUCCGCCUCAUCGACCUAAACUCUGCCCAGCUCAACCUGCACAUCGCCAAGCUCUGUCUUGCUCUUUAUGUCAGUGGAAACAACCUGCUCAAUAUCUGCAAGCUCAUCUUCCAGAUCAGCCGCAGCGAAAGCAAUGACGUCUUCUUCCAGAACAACUCCAUAAUAGACUUGUUGCUGGGAGUGCUGAGCAAUGAGGAUGUGUCUUCAUCUGGAGAAGCUCUCUUGUACUGUGUUGGAACUCUGAAAUUUCUCUCAGGAAACAGUGCAAUCCUCAGACUCCUGCUAGAAAAGAACUGUAUUGGCGUGGCUCAGAAACUCAUCCACAAGCUGCACCCGGUGAAAGAAACCCACUUCACCAUAACAGGGCACAUCCUUGUACAGCUCACAGCAACCCUGAGAAACCUGGCCGAUCAUCCUGAUUCCCGUCCACUCUUUGUCUCCUUCUCAAUUCUGUCAGAGCUCUGUCAGGUGCUGCGUUAUCACUGCAAAGACCAGGACAUCUGCACCAACAUUUCAAGAAUAUACAGUAAACUCUCCUCUUAUACGGAGUGCCGCAUCGCUCUGGCCCAGACCCCUGGCUGCUACCAACUAUUUUUAGAACUGCUGAGCAAACAUCGCCAAAAACAGGACCUUGUUGUGCGCCUUCUUUUCACCCUUGGGAACCUCACAGCCAAAAGCAACGAGGCUCGCCAACAGCUCUUCCAGUGUGAAGGCUGCAUGGGCAAACUCCUCCAGCUGUACACCAGCUACCAGCGAAGAGAUGCGUCACCACAUACUUCCUCACAGAAAAGUGACCCUUCCCCCAGCAGACCUCUUGCUGCUCCCAUGAGUGUGCAGGAGGAUGACGAUGUGCUGGUGAAGCUGGUCAGGGUUCUAGCAAACAUGUGCAUCCAUCUGGCUGUAGGUCCGGCUUUGGCAACCAACACAGCUUGCAUUGAACUUCUGAUGGAGACACUCGAGUUGAGGUCUGUGGAAGAGAGUGAGGAGUUGUUGGUGAAUGUGGCUGCCACCAUCAACAACCUGUCCUUCUACCAGGAGGAAAUCUCUGUAAUCAGACACAGUCAACUCACUAUUGCAAAAUUGAUGUUGAAGUUGGUGCUCAGCUACAGUAUGGAUGCAAUGCUUGAAGCCACCCGUGUAUAUGGAAACCUGUCACAGUCCAAGGAUGUGAGAGACUUUAUUAUGCAAAACAAAGUGCACCGGUUUGUCGUGGCGCUGCUUGACUCAAAAAGCCCUGAGAUGUGUUUUUCAGCCUGUGGGGUCCUCACCAACCUGGCUCUGGACCCUCCCAACCGGGUCAGUCUCUCACUAGAGGGAGCUUCUGCCAAGCUGGUGGACUGUCUGAGAGACUUGGGACCAGGUGAUUGGCAACUGGCGGGGCAGGCUUGUCAGGCCUUGUGGAACAUGAUUGGCGGGGGCUCAGAGCAGUUGCUGGACCCACAGGAGAGAGAGUCACUUCUGGAAAUCCUCUCUGCAUAUUUAGAAGAAGAGGAGGCUCUGAAGUGGAUAGAAGAUGAAGAUUUGAGAGAUUUUCACAGGGCAUACUGGGAGUUGGAAUUCCUACCUGUAGCUCAAAAACUGAAGAAGACUCUCCAGGCUCCUGACCUGACCACCUGACACACAGGGACAUAGAGUUAAGAGUUUCACUUCUCUUUGUAUAUUUGUUUUAAACUCUUAAAUACUUAAGCCCAGAGAGUAUAUUAUUAUUAUUAUUAUUAUCAUCAUUAUUAUCAUUAUCACUUCCCUCCUGUGAGUUUUAAAGGUGGCUGUAAAGCUUAAUCGUCAUCGGUGUGUGAAUAUGUGUGUGAAUGGGUGAAUGGUGUAUGAUCUCCUGUAAAGCACUUUGGCCAGUGCAGCACACUGUGAAAUAUGCGCUAUAUAAAUACAGUCCAUUUACCAUUUUAAUAGUUUCCUUUUUCAUAGGGAAAGCAUGUGAGGUCAGCUUGAUAUCAUGUCAAUUACAGUGGACUCCAUUUUUAAUGUCUGAAAAAGUGGAGCCUGAAAAAGUUCGGCCGCUGUCCCCCACCGCCUCCUAGUGCGCAUGUGCAGUGGACCCCAGAACGCGGAAGCAACCCCGGAAGAAAAUCAUUUGCCAUGUGUGCCAGGCGGGCAACAAUCAGUGGGGAAAAUAAAUAGAAUAAAUGAAUGUAUUAACGUUAUGAAAAAAAAAAUUCUCACAAUACAGUGAAAAAUCUCCUACCUUUUCCCCUUAAUAUAUCCGCUGGAAGAAUGGUCUUCAUCUUGUGAUUCAGUAUCCAGCUGUUAUAAUAUAUUAAUGUGACAUACAAGGGUUGAAUUUAGUUUACCGUUAUAAUCGGUCCUAUCAGUGUUUGUUUCUGGUUUGGCACCAUGAAGAUAAACAAGAACACUACUGGAGGGACACAAAGUUGUGUCGGUUCUUUACAAUGCAAACCACGUGCCCAGGUAUCAUGAAUGGAUGAAGUGUCCGAGCUGCAGCAUCUGACUGCCUCAGAGCCACCGACCCUGGAACAGGAGUACGACAUGCAGUGGAGCUGGAGGGAAGAUGGUAACAGCCACACAACACAUGGACCAGAAUACGGGACUCGCACAGUGUUCCAGGCCCCUGUCACUCCUACAUAUGGACAUCAACUGCAAGUUGAUCAGGUCCUGAUCCUCCAAAUGGCCAGAAACAAGGCGUCCAUGGCUCUGGUGUUCUUCCUUGAUGUUGCAAAGAAACCUGACUUUAGAUCCAGGCUGCUGAAGUUUUGGCCUGAGAUGGGAAAUCCCUACUGGUGGGGUCAUCAAGGCUAUCAGAGUGGAGUGGUCGCACCAAGCGCCAGCUUUCCUGAGAGGAGAGGCGUGCUCCCCAGACCAGCGGGUCCUGGACCAGCGCACACCAACACUGGGAGGAAGCAGUGUUCUGUGGAUUCCAUGAAACGCAAAGGAACUCUGGCAACUUCUGGGAGCACAGGGAAAAGAAAAAAAUAGCUCUAGGGGAAAAGAGGUGUCUGUGACAAAGGAUGCCUCUCUUUUAUGAAUUAAACAUGCAUAUACACAAUUCCCUAAAGAAAUCUAAAGACAGUGUGCGCAACAAUCAAGGGGAAAAGGUGUUGGCCCGCAACCCCAGUGAGCACAUGAGGAAGAGUGAGUUCCCGGGGAUGUUAUUCUAACAGGGAGAGGGCAGCUGUCACAAUACAACAGACUCCAAGAGAAAACGCUCUCACAGAAAAUACCAAACCCUCCCCUGCUGUCUUUAGUCUGAUAUGACACAGCCACCACAAAUCCAUGAAAAACUCAUUUGCUUUACCUGUCCUCAUUCCCUCUCUAUACAUCUCCUCUGUUUUUGUAAAAACAACCUCAACUAUCCUUCGACUCCUUCCCUGUUCAACAUGGGAAACACAGGAGAUAACACAGCGGGGUGGGUCAAAGGUGCUGCCAGAAGUUCAAAAGACAAAACCUGGGGUCUUGUGAAGUAGCAAAUGUUUCAGAUACUGAAGGCAUGCACGGUAAAAUCUAUGCCAGGCUUAUCUCUCCUACUUCUUUUAUGAAACAAAAACAUGAAACUAACAAGGCUGAUCUUAUAUUAGCAUUGAGACUCUCAGCAGCCCCAAAGAAAACAGCUCCUCUGAUACGACACUGCUGUGCGCCUCCCUGCAUGCACAGCUGCUUUCUUCUAUCUCUCUCUUUGACAAGACCUCGGCUCUGCUGACUAAGCAAAACAUGAUUCAUGUCACUGGUAACCUGGGCAGAAAGUUGUUGGUCAUCACCCUAUAAAUCUUAACGGGCACUGUUAAAGGACACGACCCUUCGCCUGUCUCUGUGACAAUACAGAAAGGUGAUGACUCACUCCCUAAAAUACCAAGAAACAAGUUCAUAACAGCUGCUUACAGCAGGCAACACUCCACCAAAUGUGAGCCACUAAUCAAAAGGCAACAAAUACUUGAUGAAACAUUUUUACCAUCUCCAUGUAGCUGCUCAUAAAAACAUAUGUCAGUCACCUCUUUCAGUAUAACAUAACAAGUGGGGUUGACAGUCCUGUUAGCGGUGAUCCAGUGCAGGGUAGACCGCGGUAGGACAGCAGAUAAAAAGAAACAGUGAUACGGGCUGAUGUAAUGCAUCACAAAGGCUGCAGGAAAGAUUAGAAACUAUUGCAUUAAACUAUUUCUGUCAGCUCCUGACGCCAGUUUCACUUCUGCCCUUCUCUGUUUCCACUAUCUAUUUUCUCAGUCUGUAGCCUUCACCAGGCUACAUUUUGAUUGCAAAGUUGAACAGGAGAUGUGAUACCUGUGUACUUUAAGGGGGAGGAAGUGAUAUGGCCUAAUCAUUCCCCUCAGAACCAUUUCAGCCAUCUCCUGUUACUUCAUUAAUAGGCAAUGAGCCCUGGUACUGAGUGGCUGAACAAAAUGGAUGGCAGAACCUCAUCGCACUGUGACAUCACAGCGAUUGCCCCAUUAAUGUUUAAUCGCUUAUAAAAUAUCUGAAUAGGUGGAAAGUGGUCUCGGUUCUGUACAGCUGUCAAGAUGGACUCAACAUUUCCACUAACAUUAUUUUAAGCUGCUGAUCUUUCUUUGUAUGAUACUGAACAGUUUAGACAGAACAAAAUGAGUGAAUAUAUAUUGUAGAUUUUCUUCCAAUACAAGUUCAAUUUCAAACAAAAUGUAUAGAAUAUAUGCACAGUGGAGCCAGCAGGCUCAAUGUGUACAAACACCAGAGGGACCAGUGCCAACAUACACAAACUCACAGUACAUGUACAUGCAUGUUGUUCCCUUGAGGAAAAAACCCAGUGAGUUCCUCAAAUAUGAAAACUGCAAGCACAUGACAUGAGAUCAUGAGUUUUUACUGGUCAAAACAACAGUGGUAAAAUAUAGAAAAUGCUUACCCAGGCACAUUAUCUUCUGGUGC